AGAACGAACGCUGGCGGCAUGCCUAACACAUGCAAGUCGAACGCUUCCGGGGCUUCGGUCGCGGAGGAGUGGCGCACGGGUGAGUAGCGCGUGGGAACCUGCCCUGUUGUGGGGGAUAACCGAGGGAAACUUCGGCUAAUACCGCAUACGACCCGGGACUUGGUCUUCGGAUUAGGUCUGGGGGAAAGAUUGAUCGCAGCAGGAGGGGCCCGCGUCGGAUUAGCUGGUUGGUGGGGUAACGGCUCACCAAGGCGAUGAUCCGUAGCUGGUCUGAGAGGAUGAUCAGCCACACUGGGACUGAGACACGGCCCAGACUCCUACGGGAGGCAGCAGUGGGGAAUAUUGGACAAUGGGGGCAACCCUGAUCCAGCAAUGCCGCGUGAGUGAUGAAGGCCUUAGGGUUGUAAAGCUCUUUCGCCCGCGACGAUGAUGACGGUAGCGGGAGAAGAAGCCCGGCUAACUUCGCGCCAGCAGCCGCGGU
rnacentral:rRNA from 1 species